AAGAAAUUUAAUAAUUUUGAAAAUGGAUUUUUUUGUUUUGGCAAGAGCAUGAGAGCUUUUACUGGGCAAGAAGACAAGAGAUGGAGAGUCCAGCCGGGCCUGCGCUUAAGUGCGCGGUCUUGCUAGGCUUGUAAGUUUCUUUCUUGCUAUUCCAAACGGUGAGAGAUUUCUGUGCUUUUGUUAUAGGACAAUUAAAACCGUUUCAAUACAACACACUGUGGAGUUUUCAUAUCUUUGCAACUUUUUCUUUGGGCAUUCGAGCAAUCGGGGCCCAGAGGUAACAAACACAAACAAUUUUAUCUAUUCAUUAAAUUUUUGUCAAAAACAAGAAUUUUCGUAACUGGAAAUUUUAAAAUAUUAAAAACUUUCAACAACGGAUCUCUUGGUUCUCGCAUCGAUGAAGAACGCAGCGAAAUGCGAUACGUAAUGUGAAUUGCAGAAUUCCGUGAAUCAUCGAAUCUUUGAACGCACAUUGCGCCCCUUGGUAUUCCAGGGGGCAUGCCUGUUUGAGCGUCAUUUCCUUCUCAAACAUUCUGUUUGGUAGUGAGUGAUACUCUUUGGAGUUAACUUGAAAUUGCUGGCCUUUUCAUUGGAUGUUUUUUUUCCAAAGAGAGGUUUCUCUGCGUGCUUGAGGUAUAAUGCAAAGUACGGUCGUUUUAGGUUUUACCAACUGCGGCUAAUCUUUUUUUAUACUGAGCGUAUUGGAACGUUAUCGAUAAGAAGAGAGCGUCUAGGCGAACAAUGUUCUUAAAGU
rnacentral:misc_RNA from 1 species